rnacentral:rRNA from 1 species
UACGUAUGGUGCAAGCGUUAUCCGGAUUUACUGGGUGUAAAGGGAGCGUAGACGGAGCAGCAAGUCUGAUGUGAAAACCCGGGGCUCAACCCCGGGAGUGCAUUGGAAACUGUUGAUCUAGAGUGCUGGAGAGGUAAGUGGAAUUCCUAGUGUAGCGGUGAAAUGCGUAGAUAUUAGGAGGAACACCAGUGGCGAAGGCGGAUUGCUGGACAGCAACUGACGGUGAGGCGCGAAAGUGUGGGGAGCAAACAGG